AGUGAACGCUGGCGGUAGGCCUAACACAUGCAAGUCGAACGGCAGCACAGUAAGAGCUUGCUCUUACGGGUGGCGAGUGGCGGACGGGUGAGGAAUACAUCGGAAUCUACUUUUUCGUGGGGGAUAACGUAGGGAAACUUACGCUAAUACCGCAUACGACCUACGGGUGAAAGCAGGGGAUCUUCGGACCUUGCGCGAUUGAAUGAGCCGAUGUCGGAUUAGCUAGUUGGCGGGGUAAAGGCCCACCAAGGCGACGAUCCGUAGCUGGUCUGAGAGGAUGAUCAGCCACACUGGAACUGAGACACGGUCCAGACUCCUACGGGAGGCAGCAGUGGGGAAUAUUGGACAAUGGGCGAAAGCCUGCUCCAGCCAUACCGCGUGGGUGAAGAAGGCCUUCGGGUUGUAAAGCCCUUUUGUUGGGAAAGAAAAGCAGCAGGUUAAUACCCCGCUGUUCUGACGGUACCCAAAGAAUAAGCACCGGCUAACUUCGUG
rnacentral:rRNA from 1 species